ACGGGGUGCAGCAGGCGCGAAAACUUUACACUGCACGACAGUGCGAUAAGGGAACCCCAAGUGCGAGGGCAUACAGUCCUCGCUUUUCUGUACCGUAAGGAGGUACAAGAAUAAGGGCUGGGCAAGACCGGUGCCAGCCGCCGCGGUAAUACCGGCAGCUCAAGUGAUGACCGCUAUUAUUGGGCCUAAAGCGUCCGUAGCUGGCCGCACAGGUCCGUUGGGAAAUCUGCUCGCUUAACGAGCAGGCGUCCAACGGAAACCGUGCGGCUUGGGACCGGGAGGUCUGGAGGGUACGUCCGGGGUAGGAGUGAAAUCCUGUAAUCCUGGACGGACCACCGAUGGCGAAAGCACCUCGAGAAGACGGAUCCGACAGUGAGGGACGAAAGCUAGGGUCUCGAACCGGAUUAGAUACCCGGGUAGUCCUAGCCGUAAACAAUGUUCACUAGGUGUGGCACAGGCUACGAGCCUGUGCUGUGCCGUAGGGAAGCCGAGAAGUGAACCGCCUGGGAAGUACGUCCGCAAGGAUGAAACUUAAAGGAAUUGGCGGGGGAGCAC
rnacentral:rRNA from 1 species